CAGCAAGCAGAAAUAAUCGGAGAUAACAUUUUCUGUACUGAAUUUUAUUUCAACAAGCGUAACUAGAGAAAAAACUCAAGAAAGAUGAAGAAGAUUCCCAUGAUUUUGCUUGUCCUACUUGCUUUAGAGAUGCAGACAAAUGCACAAACAACCACCGCUGUACCAGCAACAACCACAGCAUCUCCAACAACUACCACAGAGGCCCCAACUUCAACCACUGCUGCAACAACAAAUACAGCUCCACCAGUAACAACCACAGGGGGUCCAACAACAACCACACCGGCACAAAUAACAACCACAGCUGCACCAACAACAA